rnacentral:rRNA from 1 species
UACGUAGGUGGCAAGCGUUGUCCGGAUUUACUGGGCGUAAAGGGCGUGCAGGCGGUCUGUUAAGUGCAGGGUGAAAGCUCCCGGCUCAACUGGGAGAGGUCCUUGCAUACUGGCGGACUUGAGGGGGGUAGAGGAAAGUGGAAUUCCCGGUGUAGUGGUGAUAUGCGUAGAUAUCGGGAGGAACACCUGUGGCGAAGGCGGCUUUCUGGGCCCUACCUGACGCUGAAACGCGAAAGCGUGGGGAGCGAACCGG